CCUACGGGAGGCUGCAGUGAGGAAUAUUGGUCAAUGGACGAGAGUCUGAACCAGCCAAGUAGCGUGAAGGAUGACUGCCCUAUGGGUUGUAAACUUCUUUUAUAUGGGAAUAAAAUGUUCCACGUGUGGGAUUUUGUAUGUACCAUAUGAAUAAGGAUCGGCUAACUCCGUGCCAGCAGCCGCGGUAAUACGGAGGAUCCGAGCGUUAUCCGGAUUUAUUGGGUUUAAAGGGAGCGUAGGUGGAUUGUUAAGUCAGUUGUGAAAGUUUGCGGCUCAACCGUAAAAUUGCAGUUGAAACUGGCAGUCUUGAGUGCAGUAGAGGUGGGCGGAAUUCGUGGUGUAGCGGUGAAAUGCUUAGAUAUCACGAAGAACUCCGAUUGCGAAGGCAGUUCACUGGACUGCAACUGACACUGAGGCUCGAAAGUGUGGGUAUCAAACAGGAUUAGAUACCCUUGUAGUC
rnacentral:rRNA from 1 species